UUCCUCUCCCCCCAAACCUAAUGGAUUCGGCCCAAUUCGGAGCUCCAGGUGCAUUUGAUAAGCCAAAUGGCAUUACCGUGAACUCGUAGUGGCCUUCAUGGGUGCGGAAAGCUGUCUUUGCAAUGUCGGCAGCGUUCAUGCGGAUUUGAUGGUAACCAGAUCGGAGGUCGAGCUUUGAAAAGAUUGUUGCUCCAUGUAAUUCAUCAAGAAGUUCGUCCACGACAGGUAUCAGGAAACGAUCUUUGAUAGUUGCUGCAUUCAGGGCUCUAUAAUCAAUACAAAGACGCCAUGUAUCAUCCUUCUUCUUAACAAGAAGAACUGGGGAAGAGAAAGGACUUGAACUUGGGCGGAUGACACCUGAGUUUAAAAAUUCCUGCACUUGUUUUUCUAUUUCAGCUUUUUGGUAGUGGGGGUAUCUACAUGUUCUAACAUUGAUGGGGUUGGUGUUUGGUAGUAGGGGAAUUUUGUGGUCGAUGGGUCUUUCUGGUGGAAGGCCGAAAGGUGGUGUGAAAAUGUGUUGGUACUGAUUGAGUAGUGAGGAAAUAGCCGGGUGGGUUUCGGUG
rnacentral:sRNA from 1 species